CGGUAGAAAGCCGUCGUUCCGCUUUAUAAUGAGUGCUAGGGUUUCUUGUUCUAUCUAUAAAUACCUACUUAAUCCUUCAGUAUCGUCGUACAACUCGAUUUCGUGUCCUAACUUGUUCUGCAAACUAGGGUUUCCGGCUCAGCUUCCUUCGUUCUCGUAGUCGUUAUCCUUUAUGGCAAGCGAAGUUUUCUCAUCAUUCAGGGUCUGUAGCAGUGCCUCCAUCAGAAGAUGAAGGCUUUUGUUCAAUCAAUUCGCUUCUGUUCUCGCUGAGUGCAAUACGGAAUAUUGCUAGUGUCUCACCACCAUUGAUACUCACCACCGCCCUCAUCUGAUGGAUGUAGCGAUCCAUGUCGCCACUCAAAUUUCCUGUUAUUCUAAUAAUUACUUAAGUUGAAUUUGUCCUCUAAUUCGUUUGUUGUAAUAUUUGAGUGUAUUUUCGAGUGAUUUCAUAAAAGUAGUUCUAUUUUUCUUUUGACAGUUGAUUGUUAAAUCCUCCAAUCUAAAUGUUCUACUAGAACAAUACACUCUUUUCCCACCAAUUUUAC